AACCUGUCACUGCAAGACACAAAAAUACUCUUUAGAUGUAUAUUUUCUCUGUAUUUGUUUUCAAACAAUAAUUCUAAUGCAUUUUUAAAAAACAUUAAGAUAAAUGUUCGUGUUUAAGUCACUCAAAGCAGCUUCUGAAUAAUUACAUGUAAAAUGACCUAUUAUAUAUUUAUUGAAAAUAUUGUUUUGGAGAGAAAAGUGUAUUUUUUUUCAGAAAGGUCAUUUCUGAAAACCUCCAUUGUCACUGAAUCACUAACGUCCAGGGUUUUUUGCCAUAUACACAGCACAGAUUUUUUUGAUUAUGUAGAUUUUUUUUCUACUGCAGUUUCAUAUGCAAAGCAUGCAUCACCCACAUCCAUGCUAUCUCCUAAAGCAGUCAUUCUGAAACCCAAUCUGGGGACAGUGCAGACUAAAUAAAAUUUCAUUUUGAUUUGGCCUCCUGCUGAGAAUGGGACUGCUUUGUUUCAGCCGACAGAACCAGCAAGCCAGAAAGGUGUUGAAUAUACAAACACUGACUUAACGGAAAAUUAUUUUUACAGGUAACUACAGAACUCAGAGGCAGAUGUGCUUGUGAAUUCAAAGACCUAUCUAGUGCGGAUCCUUUAACUGCUGUUGUCAUUGCUCUGGUUCUUCACCCCAACUGUUUAAAAAAGUAAUCAUCUCCAGGAGAAAGAUGGGAAUCUGGAUUAUAGCUGUGUGAAAGCCAUGAAACUAUCUUCACAGAAAUAUUGCCUGUUUCACUUCAGCCAUCGUGCAGGUCAGAUUUUAUUCAUGAGAACGUACACAAGAAAGCCAAAGCACAGCAAAUACCAGCACAAAUAAAUAUUCAUUGAUAAAGUUGCAAGAAAUAUGCUACUAAAAGGAGAGAAGGUAUUGUAGGAACCAGCAUAAGCCAGGACCUCACCAGUUGUCGAGACGGUGUGAAACUUUGGGAUGUUUCCAGAUUUAUCAAUGUUGCUGGACAUGCAGAUAGAGACUGCAUACCUUACUUCUUGGAUAAUGGGCCUGGCCACAAUGAUGCAUGAUUUGAUCAGCAUAAGGCUGGAUUAUUUCACUUCUCUCUUUCCAGAGUUGACCCUGAAAGCCAUCCAGAAACUGUGAUAGGUUCAAUAAACAGCAACUUGCCUACUGAGUGGAGUGUCAAAUUACUAUCACACAAAAACUACACGCUCUGCAUUAGCAGCACAUCCAGUUCUGGUUAAAUUUCAAGGUCCUGGUCUUUUUGUGAGUUGAAAGUCAAUUUAGGCCUGCCUAUCUAAAGGACUGCCUCUCUCACUAUUCAGGCAUCUCCUGCUAUGGCAACUGUGUUCAUCAGGGAUGUUAACACUAGAGUCAGUCACACUUUUUCUGACAAAUUGUUUUUCCAUCAGAAAAUGCUGAUUCAUCAAAACCCAAAUUUUUCACAGAAAUGUAUCAGUUUCAGUGCAGAUUUCACAUAACCAGGAUGGAAGCAGAAGACCUAGGUUCAAGUUCCUCCUCAAACUCAGGCAGAGUAGGAGCUUUAACCUGUUUCUCCCACACAAAAGGAGCAUACCCUUGGCCACUGGGUUACUGGCUAUUCUGGGAUAGAGGGCUGUGUUCACCCUCUCCUGCUCUGUUUUUUUGGCAAAAAAAUUCAAAAGGUCUCAGUUUCAUUCCACUGCAGAACAAAAACAAAUGUCAAAACCUCAAUUUUUUUCACAAAAUGGCUUUUUUGUUUUUUGGCCAGCCCUAGAUAAGAUCAAUAGAACCAGGUUUUAAUUUUCUGAAGCUAGAGCCAGGGCAGUCUCAUCUAAAUGCCCUCACCUCUGGAACUCACAGCUACACACUCAGUCCAAGUCUUCCCUUAUGAUGAGAUGAAAGACCACCUCUUGCAGUGAGCUUCCCGCUAAACCAGCAAAUUGGGCCCAGCUGUGAAUAGCAUUCUCCUGAAUGACUAGAUUAAAUUGGCAAAGCUUCUGCAGAGUUUUGUUCCUCCUGGUGUAAAUUAUUGUCACAUCAAAACAUAUGUUAACUGAUGCCCAGAUACUACGGUAAUGGGUGCUUCAGAAAAGAUUGUAUAAUAAAAAUGAACAGUGUAAGGAAAUGUACAUAUGUAAAGGGAAACUUCUGCUUAUAUUCUGUAUAUACCAGUACAUAAGUUACUAUAAAGCAAACAAAAGAAUGGACUAUGCUGUAAGGUAUUUCUUUGCAAAAAAAUUUUCUCUGAAUUUAUUCACAAAAGCUGCAUCAAUAAACCUAAUUCCUUGCCUCUGUAUGCAUAUUGUUAAAUGUGUCAGAUAUCAGUUUAGGACCAUAAAAAGAGUUUGCUAGUGAGCCUGCUAGAGUAUGCUUUCUUGUAUCAUGUACU